CAUAGGACGUUGUGAAAUUUGAUAGAUAGGAAUGGUUGUCUACGUUAUAGAAGUUGGAUAGUUGUGAGGAAUAUCAAGGUUUAUAUAUCAUGCAGUUUUGAAUGUGGGGAUAUUGUGUAAAGUGUGGAAAGUUAAUGUGGAAUGUGAAGGUUAAUAAGUAUUAGAAAUAGUUCGAUAUGUGAGAUAUCUUGAAACAUAGAAUCGCUCUUGGAUACAUAGUGAUAUGAUGCACCAGUUAAUCUAUCCGAGCUGUGCCAGAAUGUGGAGUGAGGCGAUGCUUCAACUGAAGAGAACGCCUCGGGUGCAGACUGAUAUUACCUGCGCCUUUAAAGUGUGGAAAGUUAAUGUGGAAUGUGAAGGUUAAUAAGUAUUAGAAAUAGUUCGAUAUGUGAGAUAUCUUGAAACAUAGAAUCGCUCUUGGAUACAUAGUGAUAUGAUGCACCAGUUAAUCUAUCCGAGCUGUGCCAGAAUGUGGAGUGAGGCGAUGCUUCAACUGAAGAGAACGCCUCGGGUGCAGACUGAUAUUACCUGCGCCUUUAAAGUGUGGAAAGUUAAUGUGGAAUGUGAAGGUUAAUAAGUAUUAGAAAUAGUUCGAUAUGUGAGAUAUCUUGAAACAUAGAAUCGCUCUUGGAUACAUAGUGAUAUGAUGCACCAGUUAAUCUAUCCGAGCUGUGCCAGAAUGUGGAGUGAGGCGAUGCUUCAACUGAAGAGAACGCCUCGGGUGCAGACUGAUAUUACCUGCGCCUUUAAGUGAAGAAUGUAGCUCUAGAUGAUAGCGACAGAUAAAUGAGAGUGGGUGCAGGAGGGAGGAGUGGAUUUGAUUCUACGUAUGUGGUAUGCACCUACUGUUCAGGAGAAUCCACAUCCUCUCAGAUAACAUGGGUCUGAAUAUCUGAGUUCCAUUUAUGUGCUUGCACCAUGAUCUGCAGUCAUGUUAAGAAGUUGGCUGCCCUGUCGCUGUGACCUAAAUAUCCGGUGUACGAAAUGAAGGUAUGUUUCUUACUAUGUAUGAAGAGGUGUUUAUAAAUAAUUAAAGGGUGUUAUGUGUGUAUGUUCAUAUACAUAUAUGUACAAGUUCUUA